GAACGCACCUUUCGGGGUGAGUGGCAGACGGGUGAGUAACGCGUGGGAACAUACCCUUCGGUACGGAACAACUUGGGGAAACUUGAGCUAAUACCGUAUACGGCCUAUGGGCGAAAGAUUGUAUCGCCGAAGGAUUGGCCCGCGUCCGAUUAGCUUGUUGGUGGGGUAAUGGCCUACCAAGGCGACGAUCGGUAGCUGGUCUGAGAGGAUGGCCAGCCACAUUGGGACUGAGACACGGCCCAAACUCCUACGGGAGGCAGCAGUGGGGAAUAUUGGACAAUGGGCGCAAGCCUGAUCCAGCCAUGCCGCGUGAGCGAUGAAGGCCUUAGGGUUGUAAAGCUCUUUCGCACGCGACGAUAAUGACGGUAGCGUGAGAAGAAGCCCCGGCUAACUUCGUG
rnacentral:rRNA from 1 species